GCUUUUCACUGGUCACUCACUUGGUAGAGAUAAGUUGGAGCAACUGUUGCGACAAGGUCGUUUGUCAAAGGAUGAAAUAAACUCAACCUACAAGAUAAUGAGGAGAAUAGAGGCUGAAGAAUUAACUCUUGAUGCUUCCGAAAUUGUCAUCACUAGUACAAGACAGGAGAUUGAUGAGCAAUGGCGUUUGUAUGAUGGGUUUGAUCCAAUAUUAGAGCGCAAGUUACGUGCAAGGAUCAAGCGGAAUGUGAGCUGUUAUGGCAGGUUUAUGCCUCGUAUGGCUGUAAUUCCUCCUGGGAUGGAGUUCCACCAUAUUGUGCCACAUGAAGGUGACAUGGAUGGUGACACAGAAGGAAGUGAAGAUGGAAAGAUCCCAGAUCCACCUAUUUGGGCAGAGAUUAUGCGCUUCUUUUCUAAUCCAAGGAAGCCUAUGAUACUCGCACUUGCUAGGCCUGAUCCCAAGAAGAACCUCACUACUUUAGUGAAAGCAUUUGGUGAAUGUCGUCCAUUGAGAGAGCUUGCUAAUCUUACCUUGAUAAUGGGUAAUCGAGAUAAUAUCGAUGAAAUGUCUAGCACCAAUUCUGCACUUCUUCUUUCAAUCUUGAAGAUGAUAGAUAAGUAUGAUCUUUAUGGUCAAGUAGCUUAUCCUAAACACCACAAGCAGUCAGAUGUUCCUGAUAUCUACCGUCUUGCUGCAAAGACUAAGGGUGUUUUUAUUAAUCCAGCUUUUAUUGAGCCUUUUGGACUGACUUUGAUUGAGGCAGCAGCUUAUGGUCUCCCAAUGGUAGCCACAAAAAAUGGAGGACCUGUUGAUAUACAUAGGGUUCUUGACAAUGGUCUCUUAGUGGAUCCCCAUGAUCAGCAGGCAAUUGCUGAUGCUCUUUUGAAGUUGGUUGCUGAUAAACAACUGUGGGCGAAAUGCAGGGCAAAUGGAUUAAAAAAUAUCCACCUUUUCUCAUGGCCCGAGCACUGUAAAACUUAUCUAUCCCGGAUAGCUAGCUGCAAACCAAGGCAACCACGCUGGCUGAGACCCGAUGACGAUGAUGAUGAAAAUUCAGAAACAGAUUCACCUAGUGAUUCCUUGAGAGAUAUUCAUGACAUAUCUCUGAAUCUGAGAUUUUCAUUAGAUGGGGAAAAGAAUGAUAAUAAAGAAAAUGCUGAUAGUACAUUAGACCCCGAAGUUCGAAAGAGCAAGUUAGAGAAUGCUGUUUUGUCCUUGUCUAAGGGUGCACCGAAGAGCACAUCAAAAUCGUGGUCAUCAGACAAGGCAGACCAAAAUCCUGGUGCUGGUAAAUUCCCAGCGAUAAGGAGGAGGCGACAUAUUUUUGUUAUUGCUGUGGAUUGUGAUGCUAGCUCAGGACUCUCUGGAAGUGUGAAAAAGAUAUUUGAGGCUGUAGAGAAGGAAAGGUCAGAGGGUUCCAUUGGAUUUAUCCUGGCUUCAUCUUUCAAUAUAUCAGAAGUACAGUCUUUCCUGGUUUCAGAGGGCAUGAGUCCUACUGAUUUUGAUGCGUACAUAUGCAAUAGUGGCGGUGAUCUUUAUUAUUCGUCCUUCCAUUCUGAGCAAAAUCCUUUUGUAGUCGACUUGUACUAUCACUCACAUAUUGAGUAUCGUUGGGGAGGCGAAGGGUUGAGAAAGACUUUGGUGCGGUGGGCCGCUUCUAUCACUGAUAAGAAUGGUGAAAAUGGAGAGCACAUUGUUGUUGAGGAUGAAGACAAUUCAGCUGACUACUGCUAUACUUUCAAAGUCUGCAAGCCUGGGAAGGUUCCGCCAGCUAAAGAACUUAGAAAAGUAAUGCGAAUUCAGGCACUUCGUUGUCACGCUGUUUAUUGUCAAAAUGGGAGUAGGAUUAAUAUGAUCCCUGUACUGGCAUCUCGGUCCCAAGCACUCAGGUACUUAUAUCUGCGAUGGGGAAUGGACUUGUCAAAGUUGGUGGUUUUCGUCGGAGAAAGUGGUGAUACCGAUUAUGAAGGGUUGAUCGGUGGUCUACGCAAGGCUGUCAUAAUGAAAGGACUCUGCACUAAUGCAAGCAGCUUAAUUCACGGUAAUAGGAAUUACCCUCUAUCUGAUGUUUUACCAUUCGACAGCCCUAAUGUCAUCCAAGCAGACGAGGAAUGUAGCAGCACCG
rnacentral:misc_RNA from 1 species